UCAGCAUUCUGGUGCACGGAGUGUGAGGAAGCCAUUUGUGAUGACUGCCGAGAACAUCAUAAAGUGUUAAAAGCCACACGAAGUCACGAACUCAUAACAAUUGACAGGUACAAAUCUCUUCCAUCUUUCAUUACUGAUAUACUGCAGUCGUGUACUUAUCACAAUGAAAAGUAUCAACACUACUGUGUUGCGCAUGCGUUACCUAUGUGUUUUAAAUGCAUACAAGAACACCAGAAAUGCAACGUUAUACCUCUUGACGAAGUCACCAAAAACGCGAAGACAUCCGGGCACUUUCAAGAUUUAGAAACAAGACUGAUUUACUUAUUACACAAUAUCGAUUUAAUCAAGAAGGACCGAAAAGCUAAUUUGGACAGUAUUGAAGAAGGUAAAACGGGACAUUUAACAGAAAUUAAACCAAAUUAACAAACAUUUAGACACACUUGAAAAAGAAAUAAAACAAGAUCUUGAGAAAAAAGAGUGUCAAUGUAAAAAGAAUAUUCAGAAGGUUUUAGCAUCAGUUAAAGUAAAAGAAGACUUGAUCACAGAAUAUCAGACAAAUCUCCAAAGCAUCAAACAGCAUGCUUCCGAUCUUCAAACAGUUCUAGUAAUGAGGGAAAUUGAAAUGAAGGUUUUUGAAAAUGAA
rnacentral:lncRNA from 1 species